rnacentral:misc_RNA from 1 species
CUGAGUACUACACUCUCUACCCUUUGUGAACUAUUAUACCUGUUGCUUCGGCGGCGCCCGCGAGGGUGCCCGCCGGUCUCAUCAGAAUCUCUGUUUUCGAACCCGACGAUACUUCUGAGGUUCUUAGCGAACUGUCA